UUAGUUGGUUACCGCCGCCGC
rnacentral:misc_RNA from 1 species